rnacentral:rRNA from 1 species
UACGGAGGGAGCUAGCGUUAUUCGGAAUUACUGGGCGUAAAGCGCACGUAGGCGGCUUUGUAAGUUAGAGGUGAAAGCCUGGAGCUCAACUCCAGAAUUGCCUUUGAUACUGCAUGGCUUGAAUCCAGGAGAGGUGAGUGGAAUUCCGAGUGUAGAGGUGAAAUUCGUAGAUAUUCGGAAGAACACCAGUGGCGAAGGCGGCUGACUGGACAUGUAUUGACGCUGAGGUGCGAAAGCGUGGGGAGCAAACAGG